CUCUUUUCGGCAAGACAUAAAUGAAAAUUGGGAUGAGACAGAGAUUACCAUGGCCCUUGGGCAAGGAUGAUACACAAUGUAGUGAAAUGUUCCAUAUUAUU
rnacentral:snRNA from 1 species